rnacentral:rRNA from 1 species
AGAACGAACGCUGGCGGCAGGCCUCAAACAUGCAAGUCUAGGGGGUGUAGCAAUACAUCACCGGCGGACGGGUGCGUAACACGUGGGAAUAUACCUUUUGGUUCGGAACAACGCAGGGAAACUUGCGCUAAUACCGAAUGUGCCCUUACGGGGAAAGAUUUAUCGCCAAAAGGAUUAGCCCGCGUAGGAUUAGCUAGUUGGUGAGGUAAUGGCUCACCAAGGCUCCGAUCCUUAGCUGUUCUGAGAGGAAGAUCAGCCACACUGGGACUGAGACACGGCCCAGACUCCUACGGGAGGCAGCAGUUGGGAAUCUUGGACAAUGGGGGAAACCCUGAUCCAGCCAUGCCGCGUGAGUGAUGAAGGCCUUCGGGUUGUAAAACUCUUUCGACGGGGACGAUAAUGACGGUACCCGUAGAAGAGCUCCGGCUAACUUCGUGCCAGCAGCCGC